rnacentral:rRNA from 1 species
AGAGUUUGAUCAUGGCUCAGAUUGAACGCUGGCGGCAGGCCUAACACAUGCAAGUCGAACGGUAACAGGAAACAGCUUGCUGUUUCGCUGACGAGUGGCGGACGGGUGAGUAAUGUCUGGGAAACUGCCUGAUGGAGGGGGAUAACUACUGGAAACGGUAGCUAAUACCGCAUAACAUCGCAAGACCAAAGAGGGGGACCUUCGGGCCUCUUGCCAUCGGAUGUGCCCAGAUGGGAUUAGCUAGUAGGUGGGGUAACGGCUCACCUAGGCGACGAUCCCUAGCUGGUCUGAGAGGAUGACCAGCCACACUGGAACUGAGACACGGUCCAGACUCCUACGGGAGGCAGCAGUGGGGAAUAUUGCACAAUGGGCGCAAGCCUGAUGCAGCCAUGCCGCGUGUAUGAAGAAGGCCUUCGGGUUGUAAAGUACUUUCAGCGGGGAGGAAGGGGGUAAAGUUAAUACCUUUGCUCAUUGACGUUACCCGCAGAAGAAGCACCGGCUAACUCCGUGCCAGCAGCCGCGGUAAU